rnacentral:rRNA from 1 species
AGUGAACGCUGGCGGUAGGCCUAACACAUGCAAGUCGAACGGCAGCACAGUAAGAGCUUGCUCUUACGGGUGGCGAGUGGCGGACGGGUGAGGAAUACAUCGGAAUCUACUUUUUCGUGGGGGAUAACGUAGGGAAACUUACGCUAAUACCGCAUACGACCUACGGGUGAAAGCAGCGGAUCUUCGGACCUUGCGCGAUUGAAUGAGCCGAUGUCGGAUUAGCUAGUUGGCGGGGUAAAGGCCCACCAAGGCGACGAUCCGUAGCUGGUCUGAGAGGAUGAUCAGCCACACUGGAACUGAGACACGGUCCAGACUCCUACGGGAGGCAGCAGUGGGGAAUAUUGGACAAUGGGCGCAAGCCUGAUCCAGCCAUACCGCGUGGGUGAAGAAGGCCUUCGGGUUGUAAAGCCCUUUUGUUGGGAAAGAAAAGCAGCAGGUUAAUAACCCGCUGUUCUGACGGUACCCAAAGAAUAAGCACCGGCUAACUUCGUG